UACGAAGGGGGCUAGCGUUGCUCCGAUUUACUGGGCGUAAAGGGCGCGUAGGCGGACAGUUAAGUUGGGGGUGAAAGCCCGGGGCUCAACCUCGGAAUUGCCUUCAAUACUGGCUGUCUUGAGUGUGAGAGAGGUGUGUGGAACUCCGAGUGUAGAGGUGAAAUUCGUAGAUAUUCGGAAGAACACCAGUGGCGAAGGCGACUCGCUGGACAGACAUUGACGCUGAGGUGCGAAAGCGUGGGGAGCAAACAGG
rnacentral:rRNA from 1 species